rnacentral:rRNA from 1 species
AUUGAACGCUGGCGGCGUGCCUAACACAUGCAAGUCGAGCGGUAACGCGGGAGCAAUCCUGGCGACGAGCGGCAAACGGGUGAGUAAUGCUUCGGAAUCUGCCCAGUAGUGGGGAACAACCAGCCGAAAGGUUGGCUAAUACCGCAUACGUCCUACGGGAGAAAGCGGGGGAUCGUAAGACCUCGCGCUAUUGGAUGAGCCGAAGUCGGAUUAGCUAGUUGGUAGGGUAACGGCCUACCAAGGCGACAAUCCGUAGCUGGUCUGAGAGGA